rnacentral:rRNA from 1 species
UGGGGAAUAUUGCACAAUGGGCGCAAGCCUGAUGCAGCCAUGCCGCGUGUAUGAAGAAGGCCUUCGGGUUGUAAAGUACUUUCAGCGGGGAGGAAGGGAGUAAAGUUAAUACCUUUGCUCAUUGACGUUACCCGCAGAAGAAGCACCGGCUAACUCCGUGCCAGCGGCCGCGGUAAUACGGAGGGUGCAAGCGUUAAUCGGAAUUACUGGGCGUAAAGCGCACGCAGGCGGUUUGUUAAGUCAGAUGUGAAAUCCCCGGGCUCAACCUGGGAACUGCAUCUGAUACUGGCAAGCUUGAGUCUCGUAGAGGGGGGUAGAAUUCCAGGUGUAGCGGUGAAAUGCGUAGAGAUCUGGAGGAAUACCGGUGGCGAAGGCGGCCCCCUGGACGAAGACUGACGCUCAGGUGCGAAAGCGUGGGGAGCAAACAGG